rnacentral:lncRNA from 1 species
UCAGUGUAAAACAAUGCGUAUUAUGUAUUUCAUUUUCUUAAUACAUAAAAAAGGCAUGAGAGCUUAAAAAGGGGAAACUAAAAAAAGGUAUCCCAGUGCACCGUGCACAAGCUCCCACUAUGCACGGAUUUUGGGAAAAGUCGAACCACAAGGAUCUAUUGAAAAUGCGUAUUAUGUAUUUCAUUUUCUUAAUACAUAAAAAAGGCAUGAGAGCUUAAAAAGGGGCAAUUAAAAAAAGGUAUCCCGGUGCACCGUGCACAAGCUCCCACUAUGCACGGGGUUCAGGGAAAGGCCGAACCACAAGGAUCUAUUGAAAAUGCGUAUUAUGUAUUUCAUUUUCUUAAUACAUAAAAAAGGCAUGAGAGCUUAAAAAGGGGCAAUUAAAAAAAGGUAUCCCGGUGCACCGUGCACAAGCUCCCACUAUGCACGGGGUUCAGGGAAAGGCCGAACCACAAGGAUCUAUUGAAAAUGCGUAUUAUGUAUUUCAUUUUCUUAAUACAUAAAAAAGGCAUGAGAGCUUAAAAAGGGGCAAUUAAAAAAAGGUAUCCCGGUGCACCGUGCACAAGCUCCCACUAUGCACGGGGUUCAGGGUAAGGCCGGACCACAAGGAUCUAUUGAAAAUGCAAUCAAUACAUAAAAAAUCAAUCUCCAACUUCUGACCAAGAGCUGGAGAUCAACUGGAGCUGGUAUAACUGAGAGGUUGAUGCUUCAGGACAGUAAACAGAAAACAAAUUUAUCA